CCUACGGGAGGCAGCAGCUAAGAAUAUUCCGCAAUGGACGAAAGUCUGACGGAGCGACGCCGCGUGGAUGACGAAGGCCGAAAGGUUGUAAAAUCCUUUUGCUGGGGAAGAAUAACCAUGGGAGGGAAUGCCCGUGGGAUGACAUGAACCGGCGAAUAAGCCCCGGCUAACUACGUGCCAGCAGCCGCGGUAACACGUAGGGGGCGAGCGUUGUUCGGAAUUACUGGGCGUAAAGGGCAUGUAGGCGGCCUUGUAAGCCUGGCGUGAAAGUCCACGGCUCAACCGUGGGAUGGCGUCGGGAACUGCGAGGCUUGAGUGACGGAGAGGGAGCUAGAAUUCCUGGUGUAGGGGUGAAAUCUGUAGAUAUCAGGAAGAAUACCAAUGGCGAAGGCAAGCUCCUGGCCGAUGACUGACGCUGAGGUGCGAAAGUGUGGGGAUCAAACAGGAUUAGAUACCCUGGUAGUCCACACGGUAAACGAUGUGCACUAGGUGCUGGGGCGGAUGCUUCAGUGCCGGAGCUAACGCGGUAAGUGCACCGCCUGGGGAGUAUGCUCGCAAGGGUGAAACUCAAAGGAAUUGACGG
rnacentral:rRNA from 1 species